rnacentral:sRNA from 15 species
GUCAGGAACCUCAGCCUAAAGGCAUGAGGCUUGAAAGAGAAAUCUAAUAAGCCAUCCUGACCAGCCUAAGUCAAAACUUGACUACGUUUUUUGAGUCACGACACCUUGGGAUGCGAAGCUAGUCCCCUGCUCUGUC